GCCUGGGUGGCUCAGUUGGUUGAGCGUCUGACUUUGGCUCAGGUCACAAUCUCACGUCCAGUCCGUGAGUUCGAGCCCCGUGUCGGGCU
rnacentral:tRNA from 1 species